GCAGCCCCUUCAAAACCGAGCUGUGUGCCCGGGCUGAGCCCCCACCGCGCUCCUGCACGACCCCCGCCACAGCCCCGCGCUGCCGGCUCGGCCUGCCGCGGCUCCAGACAGCCCCGCCAUGGCUGGUAUCCGGCGAGGCCACUGUGACCCCGGGGAGCUGCAGUGUGGCACUGCGUGUAUUUGACAAGCUGAGUCCGACACUCAGUGUGCAGAGUGUCAGUUUGUCAAAUACCCCAAGUGAGGCACUGCUGAGCAACGCGACGCCGAGGGUGCAGCCCUUUCCUCCUGCUCUGGCAGGAGCCUUCCUCUCCAGAAACCCAGCGAGGUACUGAGCAACACAUCCCAUUGUUCCAGAACACCCGACGGAUCCUGUGCUGCCAGGUUUCCCUUCCACCCCGGUUUUGGAAGUAUCUGUUGGGGUACCCCUUCCAAUAGUAAAUCAGAGCAGAAGUGGUGCUGGUGCAACUUCUCUGCACUGUGAAAACAGGGAAUUGAGCCCUAGGUCCUUGUUGUUUGCAUCCAAAUACAAUGCUGUUCUCUUACGCUAGCCAGCUGUAAAUUAAGCUCAGAUAACAAGCAUCCUUGCAACUACAAUCACAUCAUCACGGCUAAAGGCAGCAUUAUCCAUAAUAAAGAAUCUUGCCUUUGCACAUGUAGUAAUCUUUCUUAUAUGGAGUAGAAACUAAUGAGGCUGCUCAUUAACGUCCCUCUGACCCAUUAGCCUGUGAAAAAUGCAUGUUUGCUCAAUCUGUUUUAAAUUAGGCCAUGGAGUCCAUUGCCCCUCCUGCGAACCCUGCUGUUUGGAGAGCACUUCUUGUCUUUGCAUGGUUAUUCCUAGUCAGCACUUGCAGCAAGGUUGCCUAUUCUGCUAUUUAAUGAAAGUAAUUCCCUCUAAA